AAYGACUCUCGGCAACGGAUAUCUCGGCUCUCGCAUCGAUGAAGAACGUANCGAAAUGCGAUACUUGGUGUGAAUUGCANAAUCCCGUGAACCAUCGAGUCUUUGAACGCAAGUUGCGCCCAAAGCCAUUAGGCMGAGGGCACGUCUGGCUGGGUGUCACACAACG
rnacentral:rRNA from 1 species